GUAGGGCGGGACACGUGGUAUCCUGUCUGAAUAUGGGGGGACCAUCCUCCAAGGCUAAAUACUCCUGACUGACCGAUAGUGAACCAGUACCGUGAGGGAAAGGCGAAAAGAACCCCGGCGAGGGGAGUGAAAAAGAACCUGAAACCGUGUACGUACAAGCAGUGGGAGCCUCUUUAUGGGGUGACUGCGUACCUUUUGUAUAAUGGGUCAGCGACUUAUAUUCUGUAGCAAGGUUAACCGAAUAGGGGAGCCGAAGGGAAACCGAGUCUUAACUGGGCGUUAAGUUGCAGGGUAUAGACCCGAAACCCGGUGAUCUAGCCAUGGGCAGGUUGAAGGUUGGGUAACACUAACUGGAGGACCGAACCGACUAAUGUUGAAAAAUUAGCGGAUGACUUGUGGCUGGGGGUGAAAGGCCAAUCAAACCGGGAGAUAGCUGGUUCUCCCCGAAAGCUAUUUAGGUAGCGCCUCGUGAAUUCAUCUCCGGGGGUAGAGCACUGUUUCGGCAAGGGGGUCAUCCCGACUUACCAACCCGAUGCAAACUGCGAAUACCGGAGAAUGUUAUCACGGGAGACACACGGCGGGUGCUAACGUCCGUCGUGAAGAGGGAAACAACCCAGACCGCCAGCUAAGGUCCCAAAGUCAUGGUUAAGUGGGAAACGAUGUGGGAAGGCCCAGACAGCCAGGAUGUUGGCUUAGAAGCAGCCAUCAUUUAAAGAAAGCGUAAUAGCUCACUGGUCGAGUCGGCCUGCGCGGAAGAUGUAACGGGGCUAAACCAUGCACCGAAGCUGCGGCAGCGACACUAUGUGUUGUUGGGUAGGGGAGCGUUCUGUAAGCCUGUGAAGGUGGCCUGUGAGGGUUGCUGGAGGUAUCAGAAGUGCGAAUGCUGACAUAAGUAACGAUAAAGCGGGUGAAAAGCCCGCUCGCCGGAAGACCAAGGGUUCCUGUCCAACGUUAAUCGGGGCAGGGUGAGUCGACCCCUAAGGCGAGGCCGAAAGGCGUAGUCGAUGGGAAACAGGUUAAUAUUCCUGUACUUGGUGUUACUGCGAAGGGGGGACGGAGAAGGCUAUGUUGGCCGGGCGACGGUUGUCCCGGUUUAAGCGUGUAGGCUGGUUUUCCAGGCAAAUCCGGAAAACCAAGGCUGAGGCGUGAUGACGAGGCACUACGGUGCUGAAGCGACAAAUGCCCUGCUUCCAGGAAAAGCCUCUAAGCAUCAGGUAACAUCAAAUCGUACCCCAAACCGACACAGGUGGUCAGGUAGAGAAUACCAAGGCGCUUGAGAGAACUCGGGUGAAGGAACUAGGCAAAAUGGUGCCGUAACUUCGGGAGAAGGCACGCUGAUAUGUAGGUGAAGCGACUUGCUCGUGGAGCUGAAAUCAGUCGAAGAUACCAGCUGGCUGCAACUGUUUAUUAAAAACACAGCACUGUGCAAACACGAAAGUGGACGUAUACGGUGUGACGCCUGCCCGGUGCCGGAAGGUUAAUUGAUGGGGUUAGCGGUAACGCGAAGCUCUUGAUCGAAGCCCCGGUAAACGGCGGCCGUAACUAUAACGGUCCUAAGGUAGCGAAAUUCCUUGUCGGGUAAGUUCCGACCUGCACGAAUGGCGUAAUGAUGGCCAGGCUGUCUCCACCCGAGACUCAGUGAAAUUGAACUCGCUGUGAAGAUGCAGUGUACCCGCGGCAAGACGGAAAGACCCCGUGAACCUUUACUAUAGCUUGACACUGAACAUUGAGCCUUGAUGUGUAGGAUAGGUGGGAGGCUUUGAAGUGUGGACGCCAGUCUGCAUGGAGCCGACCUUGAAAUACCACCCUUUAAUGUUUGAUGUUCUAACGUUGGCCCGUAAUCCGGGUUGCGGACAGUGUCUGGUGGGUAGUUUGACUGGGGCGGUCUCCUCCUAAAGAGUAACGGAGGAGCACGAAGGUUGGCUAAUCCUGGUCGGACAUCAGGAGGUUAGUGCAAUGGCAUAAGCCAGCUUGACUGCGAGCGUGACGGCGCGAGCAGGUGCGAAAGCAGGUCAUAGUGAUCCGGUGGUUCUGAAUGGAAGGGCCAUCGCUCAACGGAUAAAAGGUACUCCGGGGAUAACAGGCUGAUACCGCCCAAGAGUUCAUAUCGACGGCGGUGUUUGGCACCUCGAUGUCGGCUCAUCACAUCCUGGGGCUGAAGUAGGUCCCAAGGGUAUGGCUGUUCGCCAUUUAAAGUGGUACGCGAGCUGGGUUUAGAACGUCGUGAGACAGUUCGGUCCCUAUCUGCCGUGGGCGCUGGAGAACUGAGGGGGGCUGCUCCUAGUACGAGAGGACCGGAGUGGACGCAUCACUGGUGUUCG
rnacentral:rRNA from 1 species